rnacentral:rRNA from 1 species
GGGGAAUCUUCCGCAAUGGGCGAAAGCCUGACGGAGCAACGCCGCGUGAGUGAAGACGGCCUUCGGGUUGUAAAGCUCUGUUAUAGGGGACGAACGGCCGGGUAGCGAAGAGGUAGCCGGCAUGACGGUACCGUAAGAGAAAGCCACGGCUAACUACGUGCCAGCAGCCGCGGUAAUACGUAGGUGGCAAGCGUUGUCCGGAAUGAUUGGGCGUAAAGGGCGCGCAGGCGGCUGUGUAAGUCUGUCUAGAAAGUGCGGGGCUAAACCCCGUGAGAGGAUGGAAACUGGACAGCUGAGAGUGUCGGAGAGGAAAGCGGAAUUCCUAGUGUAGCGGUGAAAUGCGUAGAUAUUAGGAGGAACACCGGUGGCGAAAGCGGCUUUCUGGACGACAACUGACGCUGAGGCGCGAAAGCCAGGGGAGCAAACGGGAUUAGAUACCCCGGUAGUCCUGGCCGUAAACGAUGGGUACUAGGUGUAGGAGGUAUCGACCCCUCCUGUGCCGGAGUUAACGCAAUAAGUACCCCGCCUGGGGAGUACGGCCGCAAGGCUG